AUAUGAAACUAAACGUAAUAUAUAACGUUGCUACACAAGAGAUAUACAUAAGUACUAAAUUACGUAACAAGAAAAAAGGAAUCUGCAAUUUCGAUGUCGCAUUACGGUAUUAUGUUGCAACCAAUCGUUAUAAACAAGGAUAAGACGUAUGAGGAAAAUAAAUAACACGUGCGUUAAGUAAUACAAUUGGAGGCCGGUAUAUAUAUAGAGAGAGAGAGAAAGAGAGAGAGAGACCUUGAAGAGCGUGUGCGCGACAAUUACAAAAGGACGAUCGAUGAAUAUUACGAGAAUGAAAAUGAUUUUAAAAUUAUUGUAUAUUUGACAACUAACGCAAACGUAUACAAGUAUUUUUCUACCAAUCUCUAAAUUCAAGGAUAACGUUGAGAGAUAGUAAAAAUAAAAAAAUAAAAAUACCUCGAGGAAAUGGUUAGAGUCAUAUUAUCAUUUUAUCACUCACCACGUCGAUAGCAUUUUUUAAGGCGACGUGUAUGCCGCUAAUCAUUGUUCUACUUUGCCUAGGAUUUUGUCGAAAUGUUGAUCGAUCGAAUCAAAAGCGCUGCUAAACCAAUACCAGCAUCAUUUUCUCGUGGUUUCGCGGAACACAACAUUAUCUGUCGCUUGUCAAACCGCAAUGUGUGCGUUUCUCUCUCUCUCUCUAACUCUCUUUAAUUGUUUAUACGUCCGUCCGUACGAGCCUCUUAACGAGUCUCUACUACGAAGUUUUGACACACGUUAGUUCGAUUUUUCAACGCUAGAGGUAGCAUCGAGACAAUGUUUAAGAUUAGGGAGACGUUCUAUACAACACGUAGAUGAACGCGUGACACGGACGCGUUCACGUCGUUGGGUAUAGAAAUUUGAUGUUUCAUCGUUAAAAUUUGAAAUCCAACACAGCCCAGUUCCGAAAGACGACUCACUAUUAUAUUUACGCAAUUUAAAAUAAUCGAUAAAAACUCAUUUUUAAUUUCAUUCAGAAAGAAUUUCAGAACGAUCAAAUGUUAUUACACUCGUCUGUUUAAUUAAGUACUCACCGACUUAAGUCUUCGCAAUCGUCGAAGCAUCGUGAUGAUGAUGGAUAGGCAAAGAAGAAAAGAAGGAACGAGGAUUGGAAGAACAAACGAUAUUAUAGAAAAAUUGACAACGUUUGAAAAAGACAAUAGACAAAGAAAAAGAAGAAAAAAAAAAUGUCAUUAACGAUAACGACCAAUCACUAAAAAAUAGUGCUUUUACGUUGGUAGGUCAUUUUGUUAUAUUCGAUCUUUAUCACUGUCUCUAUGCCAUUAACGUCUUAUCUUAUUUAACGAUAAGAAUAUUUACGACGAAUACAAUAUGGAAACCAAAUUUAUGCUCAAAACUACUUCCUAUUUGUUUAAAUUUCCAAUUUUUUUUGCUUUUCUUCUUUUCGACGAUCUCCUCCAUGGAAACAAUUUUGGCCAUUGGCGUAAAAACACAUUAAUCCUCGCGAAUUUAUUUCAAUGUUUUUCAUUAUUUUCAAAUUAUUCUACUCAUAAUAUUAUCUUGAUAUAUACUUUUGUUAUUAAAAUUCUUAUCUCACAUUUCGUUUAUUAUUAGUUAAACGUCGAUUACGCCGAGUGUCAUCGCAUACGACUAACGUAGGAACAUUACUAUUUUACGUUUCAUGUUCAUGUUUACUCCACGAAGUUGGAAACUAUUAAAUAAUUGCUAUCUUCUCUCUUUCUUUCUAUCUCUCUCUUUUUUUUUCUCUCGAGUUAUCAGAUUAAAUAGGACAUAUAAAACCAAAUUUCGUUUACAUAUU
rnacentral:lncRNA from 1 species